GAUGAACGCUAGCUACAGGCUUAACACAUGCAAGUCGAGGGGCAGCAUGGUCUUAGCUUGCUAAGGCCGAUGGCGACCGGCGCACGGGUGAGUAACACGUAUCCAACCUGCCGUCUACUCUUGGACAGCCUUCUGAAAGGAAGAUUAAUACAAGAUGGCAUCAUGAGUUCACAUGUUCACAUGAUUAAAGGUAUUCCGGUAGACGAUGGGGAUGCGUUCCAUUAGAUAGUAGGCGGGGUAACGGCCCACCUAGUCUUCGAUGGAUAGGGGUUCUGAGAGGAAGGUCCCCCACAUUGGAACUGAGACACGGUCCAAACUCCUACGGGAGGCAGCAGUGAGGAAUAUUGGUCAAUGGGCGAGAGCCUGAACCAGCCAAGUAGCGUGAAGGAUGACUGCCCUAUGGGUUGUAAACUUCUUUUAUAAAGGGAUAAAGUCGGGUAUGUAUACCCGUUUGCAUGUACUUUAUGAAUAAGGAUCGGCUAACUCCGUG
rnacentral:rRNA from 1 species